rnacentral:rRNA from 1 species
CACAGGUGCUGCAUGGCUGUCGUCAGCUCGUGUCGUGAGAUGUUCGGGUUAAGUCCCGCAACGAGCGCAACCUUGUCAUUAGUUGCCAGUCAUUUAGUUGGGCACUCUAAUGAGACUGCCGGUGACAAACCGGAGGAAGGUGGGGAUGACGUCAAGUCCUCAUGGCCCUUAUGGGUAGGGCUUCACACGUCAUACAAUGGUCGGUACAGAGGGUUGCCAAGCCGCGAGGUGGAGCCAAUCCCUUAAAGCCGAUCGUAGUCCGGAUCGUAGUCUGCAACUCGACUGCGUGAAGUCGGAAUCGCUAGUAAUCGUGGAUCAGAAUGUCACGGUGAAUACGUUCCCGGGUCUU